rnacentral:rRNA from 1 species
AUUGAACGCUGGCGGCAUGAUUUACACAUGCAAGUCGAACGGUAACAGGCCGCAAGGUGCUGACGGGUGGCGAACGGGUGAGUAAUGCAUCGGAACGUGCCCAGUCGUGGGGGAUAACUACUCGAAAGAGUAGCUAAUACCGCAUACGAUCUAUGGAUGAAAGCGGGGGACCGUAAGGCCUCGCGCGAUUGGAGCGGCCGAUGUCAGAUUAGGUAGUUGGUGGGGUAAAGGCUCACCAAGCCAACGAUCUGUAGCUGGUCUGAGAGGACGACCAGCCACACUGGGACUGAGACACGGCCCAGACUCCUACGGGAGGCAGCAGUGGGGAAUUUUGGACAAUGGGCGCAAGCCUGAUCCAGCAAUGCCGCGUGCAGGAAGAAGGCCUUCGGGUUGUAAACUGCUUUUGUACGGAACGAAACGGCUCUGGUUAAUACCCGGGGCUAAUGACGGUACCGUAAGAAUAAGCACCGGCUAACUACGUG